ACCAUUUUUAUUGUCUAUAUCAGUUUAAUUGUUUUAUUUUAACGAUAAAUAAAUAGUAUACUUAACAAGCUGGUUUAUCUUCCGAGAUCUAGCGAUGGAAUUAUUGAUAAAAGGGUUCCUACCCUGGUAAUUAUUGACAAUACCCACAUAAUUCCGAGGUUUUAAUUAUUGAGAGGAGUAAAGAGUACAUAGUAUACAAGUAAAGAAAACAUAAGCUUUGAUGUAGCUGUAAUUGAAGCAAGAAGUGAAGUUUUGCAAGAACAAUCUGGAAUGGCGCUGAUGAAGAUUCUUUAAUAAUGCGUCUGGAUGGUCGAAGCAAGAUGGACGAUGGAAGUUGUUGGGUUAUGCUUUAUAGGGUGUAAGGUAUUCAACAAGAAGAAAUGAAAUAUUCCCAGUGACAUAAGCACGGUAUGAUUUAUUAUCUUGGACAACAUCUUAUAUCGAUUAAUUGCUGUUUAAUUAAACUUUUUGAACCAUAAGGAUUUAAUGUCAUGUUUCAGUGGCAUAUGUCCUCUGCUGAGAGUUAUUAUAAAUAAUAUUCUUUGGCGAAAAUAAUAAUGCCGACUAUGGUUAUUCUCUUGUUAUGGUGAUAUUCAAGGCUACGGUAUCGCCAGUCCGUCCAGAGAACCAGUCUCACUGUAUUAUUAUUAUUAUUAUUAUUAUUAUUAUUUCUGUUGUUGUUAUUAUUUUACUAUGCAAAGGAAGUUUUUAAAAUUUUUUGAGAUUGAUUGAACAAGACCAAGACUAAAAGGUAAAAAAAUAAAAGGCGCUAUAAUACUUUUAGCAGUGCGUGUGUCGUUAUUUACAUGCUUCAAUCCAACAGGUGGAGAUUAUACAUUUAUUAUUAUUAUUAUUCGUCUAUAUGAAUGUAAUUAACCACAAUUCCUUCAGAAAGUCUUCACCCCAUUUCCUCAGAGCUAGCAGGGCCAGAGGGGUUGACAUGAAAUUAGCGGUGUCUUGAGACACGAACAACACACGGUGACCGCAACUACUACGUCUUACACAUUAGGAUUGAAGAUGAAAAGACAUGGCCAGUCUAGUGUGACUCCUGAAUUACACUAAAACGCCGGAAGAGCAAGGAUUUUCAGAGCUUUAUUCUCAUCCUUGUUAAACUUAAAAUAACUAAUGUAAAUUGAUUAUCUGAAUUUUAAAACUGAAUUUCUCAGUAAAAUCGUUACACGCAGUGACACUUGCGUCAGGAUACUCUCAAGAGAAUUUGAUUUUUUAAGGAUGUAAUUUAGUAAUGAAACUGUUUUUAGUCCCUUUGUCAUAUCCGCAAUGAACAAAAGGAUACCAUAUGGUAUUUUUUACCGGUGUUCAAUUAUUACCGGGUACCAGAGGAAUGAAAGCGAUGAUAUUAUCAAAAAGGGGGGGGGGGCAUAAAUAUUCGUCAACGGGUCAAAGGAGGCGAUUAUGACUCUAAGACAAAGUAACUUUGUUUUUGUUCUAAAGAAUAUAUUAUUUUUACUUCAACAAACAAUUAACUUCCAGGAGAAACUCUGAAUCACUCUAAAAAUUUAUCUUCAGUUGUGUUUUAUGUUUACUAUUAUUCUUUUCCUGGAUCUUGGACUAACCAAACACCUGUCGGUAGAUAUCUUGACAGGCGUAAAAAUAAAAACUCGACUUUACAACCCAGGCUAGACUAAUAACCGCCUUUGUCAUUCUGUACGGUCUGGGUGUCCUUAAAAAGGACAAUUGAUAGUUAAUCAAUUAACAGGUUAAUUAUUUUGUAUUGAGGCGAAUUUGAAUGGAUUAUUUGGGGUCGUCUUCAAGGACUCUCCCACGCAAAAGAUGCUUUUAUCCAUUUAUGUCUUUACUUUCUCACAACUGGGCCUGAUUUUUCUAUGUAAUGGUAUUACAUUCAGGCGAUGGGAGCUGGCCAGGGUGAAUAAAAUCACAAACAACUCGCCAAUAGCCCUCUAGUAUAUAGUAUAUAGUAUAUAGUAGUAGUACAGGAUGAAUCCGUACAGCAGUUUCCUUACUAUACCUUUCGUUAAAUUUAAAUGCUUCAUUGAAGUCUCUCAUGAAGCAUCGAAUGCCAAGUCUUAGAAGUACGUGGGAAUAUAUAUCAUAAAAAUCUCUUAUACUUUCUUAUGGUGUAUAAAAUAUCUUCACACAGACUCACCAUAGAAGAAAUUGGGCCUGAGAAAUUUAGCGGGUCUCAAGGCAUUUUGAAACAAGUAUUUAUAGAAUUGCACAUAAAAAGCGGAUCCACCGUGAACGGACUAAGCAAAAUUAAAGAACCCACUUGAGCAGUCUAUAUACAUACACAGUGUACUCUACUAAAAAGUAUUCCAGCGUACUAAACCGGGUUUAAAAAAUUUAAAAAUAAUAACACAUAUGGGUGGUCCCAAAACUACAACAACCACAUUUCACUAGCAGUACCAGUACCAGUACCAUUAAAGACCGAGCUAACUCAAUGCCGAUGGAAUCUCAUGGGAACUCUAUACGAUGUACAAUCUGACGGACUAAGCUGGCUGAAAUUAACUUGGACAUAUUUCGAGUUACAUCACCCGUGCAUAACUUUUUACAAAAGAUCUCGUCGAGCAACAAAAGUCUCGCCCGUGCUCAAAGAAUAAUGGAUCCAGCUACUUCCAAGGGGAAUAAGAAAAGGAAAACGACAGCUGCGAAUUUUUUUAAUCCACACUCAAGAUGUCCUGCGUAGUUACACAUCGACUGCGCCACAGUAGAUCUAUAUAAUUUUAUAAAUUAUAUAAAUACGUUUGUCCUAGGAUAAUAUUUUUUGCAAUCACUCGGAAAGAUAUUGUAAGUACGACACCUGGAUCUGGAUGUAUGCAUGCAGUAACGGAUCGUCCCCUUGGGCUCACAAUGAAACGGCUAGACGUGGGCAGUAGUU
rnacentral:misc_RNA from 1 species